AUAUAUAUAUAUAAAACUAUAAGUUAAUGAACAAACUAUAAAAUUUUCUUGUGUGUGUAUGUACAUUAUCGUAAAAUUCACAUCAAGCGUUUCUUCAUGUGCUUCUUCAGCAUUUUGUGAAUAUAUAGUUAUUUGUAAUACGCUUUUUAGUGAACUUAGGAAUAUAUUCAUUUAUAUAUGUUCACUUUGUAUGAGCUGCUACAUACAUACAUAUAUAUAUAUAUGUAUAUGUGAUAAUAAAAAUAACUCUAUGUCAAAUUUUGUUGUAUUGUUUGUGUUUAUUUAUUUUUUAUAAAAAAAAACAUAUAUAUUAUUACUUUACUUUUUUUUAUUUUGUACUUUCUUUUUUUUCUUUACUUUCUUUUUUUUUUUAUUGUUAUUGCAAAAUGCGAAAGAAUUUUUUGUUUUUGUUAUUCUCUUUAUCACUAGCGUUGUUAGGCAGUUCAAAUGUUUCUGCAAAGAAAAAAUUUUAUGAAGAAGAAAUUAAGAAUCAUUUGAAUAGAUUUUUAAUUUUAAAAAAUUCUCAAAAAUAUUGUGAAGGAAGUAAUUUAAUUUCUAUUACAAACUCAGAAAACUUAUAUAAACUCGGCAAAGCAUUAGAUAUUUGCGAGGAUAAUAAAACUUGUGAUUUUAUUUCAUAUUCUCCUAAAAGGAUUUUAAGGAAUUCAAUUUUUUAUGAGGAUGAAAAGGAGUUGCAAAAUACUGGUGCCACUUGGAUAUGUUCAGGUUUCUAUUUGCUUAUCUAUUUAUUUUGAUUUAAUUUGCAUAAAUAUAUAAAA
rnacentral:lncRNA from 1 species